rnacentral:tRNA from 1 species
GCCUUGAUUGCUCAGUUAGGAUAGCAUUAGACUGAAGAUUUAAAGGUCACCAGUUCGAUCCUGGUUCAGGGCU